rnacentral:misc_RNA from 1 species
GCAAACUUGGUCAUUUAGAGGAAGUAAAAGUCGUAACAAGGUCUCCGUUGGUGAACCAGCGGAGGGAUCAUUAAAGAGUUUGCAAGAACUCCCUAAACCCACUGUUUACAUACCCGUUUUGUUGCUUCGGCAGGCGGCCCCAGGGCGGGGCUAUAGCCUGUUACAGGCGUCUGCCGGAGGUUUUAUAAAUUCUUGUUUUAAUGUCUGUCUGAGCUUAAAAAAAUCGUUACAACUUUCAGCAACGGAUCUCUUGGUUCUGGCAUCGAUGAAGAACGCAGC